GUCGGAAAUGAAACAUGCGUUACGCACUACGCGUGUUUCCGUAGCCUAAACGGUACACAAGCGGAAGUUCCGGUUUAAUAUUAAGAAAACUGGUAAAGGGCGAACACGCUAACUACUGCUACGUCUGAGUACAA
rnacentral:lncRNA from 1 species